UCCGACUAAGUAGCCCUGAAUGUGCCCCAGCUCAUCGGACACUGGCAGCUAAGCCAUAUUGAAGGUUGGUUAGUGCUCGGAUGGGUGACUGCUUGGGAAUGCCUAGUUUUGUUGGCU
rnacentral:rRNA from 1 species